GACGCUCGGCCACGCCGGCUCCUCCCAGAAGCCCGCGAGUCCGGUUUCCGGCGGGAGCAUGGAGACCCUGGUGUAGGUGAAGCUAGGCUUUUGGACCCGGAGCUGGCCACGGGUUUCUCUGUCCUCUCGUAGCUGCCAGAAUGCUUCACCUGGAAAAUAUGGUGCUUUGUCGGGAGUCCCAAGUGUCCACCUUGCAGUCCCUGUUUGGAGAGAGACAUCAUUUCAGCUUUCCGUCUAUUUUUAUUUAUGGACACACUGCCAGUGGAAAGACCUAUGUAACACAAACUUUGUUGAGAAGUUUAGAGCUUCCACAUGUCUUUGUGAAUUGUGUUGAGUGCUUUACCUUGAGACUGCUUUUGGAACAAAUUUUAAACAAAUUGAAUCAUCUUAGUUCUUCAGAGGGUGAAUGUUCUACUCAUAUAACUUGUGAAAUAUUUAAUGACUUUGUUCGCUUAUUUAAACAAAUAACUGAAGCUGAAAAUCUCAAGGAUCAGACUGUAUAUAUUGUUCUGGAUAAAGCCGAGUAUCUAAGAGAUAUGGAAGCAAACCUUUUACCUGGAUUUCUUAGAUUACAAGAAUUGACUGACAGAAAUGUGACUGUUAUCUUUCUCAGUGAAAUUGUUUGGGAAAAGUUUCGUCCAAAUACCGGAUGCUUUGAGCCAUUUGUCUUAUAUUUCCCUGAUUAUAGCAUAGGGAACCUGCAGAAGAUCCUAUCUCAUGAUCAUCCUCCAGAGUAUUCAGCUGAUUUCUAUGCUGCCUACAUUAACAUUCUUCUUGGAGUUUUCUAUACUGUCUGUCGAGAUUUGAAAGAACUCCGGCAUCUGGCAGUACUUAAUUUUCCUAAAUAUUGUGAACCUGUGGUUAAAGGAGAAGCAAAUGAACGUGAUACUCGCAAGCUCUGGAGAAAUAUUGAACCUCAUUUGAAGAAAGCCAUGCAGACUGUUUAUCUCAGAGAAAUAUCAAGUUCGCAAUGGGAAAAGCUACAGAAAGAUGACACAGAUCCAGGACAACUGAAAGGUCUCUCGGCAUAUACUCAUGUGGAACUUCCGUACUACUCGAAAUUUAUCCUAAUUGCUGCAUACCUCGCUUCUUAUAAUCCAGCAAGAACUGACAAGAGGUUUUUCCUUAAGCAUCAUGGGAAAAUCAAGAAAACCAAUUUUUUAAAGAAACAUGAAAAGACAAGCAAUCAUCUCCUCGGACCAAAACCAUUUCCAUUAGACAGAUUAUUAGCAAUAUUAUAUAGUAUUGUGGACAGCAGAGUUGCUCCAACAGCAAAUAUCUUCUCCCAGUGCCUUUGUUGCCGAGUUUCUAACCUUCAGCAGACUCAAGAUUACCUCUUUAGUGACCCUUCAGCUGUUAACCCUGGUUGGCCAUGACGAUCAGCUUGAUGAACCAAAGUACAAAUGCACAGUGUCUCUAGACUUCAUCAGAGCUAUUGCUAGGACGGUGAACUUUGACAUAAUAAAAUACUUGUAUGAUUUCUUGUGAAAACAAGCUUCAAAGCCAUAUGGACACUGUGACAAUGACGAAGCCAAACUGUGUUCAUCCAACUACUCAGCUGGCCUGGGAGAGGAGUUCUUUGGCUCCAUUGGAUUUGUCCAGACAGGUGCUGGCCCAGCAUGGAAUCUGAUGAAAAACUCUGAUUGGUCUGGGUGAAUGUGAGCAGAAGACUAUUUACCAGGGACCCUGGAGUAUUUGGAAAGAACGUGUUAAUUAUAAACAGCAGGGUCUGAGCACAAUCUGUUCUAUUCUUAAUGAUGUUAUCUUAACACUGAAAUUGCCUGAAACCCAUUUACUUAGGACUGCAUUUUGCUCUGUGAACUAUCCCCUGCGCUUUGAAUGUGCCAGCAGCCCUUGUAUAUAAGCCCAGUCUUUUCACUUCCUCUCCCCAGGAGCCUCUGCAGUUGCUUGCCAAAGCAGAUUUUCCUAAGGCCACCACUUUAAAAGAUCAUAGUUGCAAAAUAUAAUAAGUAGAAGUUUUUUGUUAUUUUAAGAUCCAAGUUUAUAUGUGUUUAUCUUUCGCCCUGAUUUUCUCAAAAGGCAAGGUAGUUUGAUCAGAUAGGGCAGCUUUCCACCUCUAAGCCUCCUUGAUAACUGCGGUAUACUUAGGUGAGAUUUAUCUAGUCACUCUGGCAAUAAACUACUCAACAUAGCUUUUUAAUCUGCAUAAUGGUUUUUUUUUCCUUUUUUUAAUCACUGACCUUUAAUAGUUCCACAAUAAAAGUUUUCCUGUUAUAUCA